AGGAACCAGACCAGGUGGUACUGUUUUCUGCCCCUGUGCUUUGCAGAUUUCGACGUGCAUGUUAUUCACUCAGGAAUCUUGUUUAAUGCACAUUAGGUUCAGUAGGCCAGGGUGGUGCCCGGGAGACUAGCUUUCUAACGAGCUCCCAGGUGAUGGUGGUAGCGAUAAAAAUGUUGGCUUAUGGACAUUUGGAAAAGCAGUGCUCAUAGCCUUUGGUACUCAGCACAGCUGUUAAUCAAGAAUGCUGGGGGUGCUUCUGGAUCCACUCAGUCGGCCCUUGGUGCGUUGAAACUUACAUUGCAGUGAUGCUGUUCUUUUCAGGGACACUGAUUACUAACAGUAAAAUGUCUACAAAUAUUUGAAUGUAGAUAGAACAUGGUGAGACUGGGCAUGAUUCAGAAAAGCUGGAAGAUCUAGAGAGGGAUCUUGCAAUCUGAAGUUUGUUUAGUCACUGGAGCCUGAGUAUAAUCCGAAUCGAAAUGAAAUGCUGUCUGGAAAUCUUACCAAAGAAGCACAGUCCCACUUCGUGCUUCCAUCUCCCCACAUCCCAAAGACCACCGCCUACUUUAAGAGAGAACACAGACAAUUCACCUCCAUAAAGGCACAGCCAGGGAGAGGAGUAGGCAGAGGAUUUGAACGUCUAUGACACUCUUCCGAGCUGACACAGUGAAGAACAUGGAAGGAGAACUCACCCAGUCUGCCAGGGUCACAGAUGAUCAUACUCAAGAUCUUCCUGGGGAGUCAACGGCAAAUUUCACU
rnacentral:sRNA from 1 species